rnacentral:misc_RNA from 1 species
CUCUCUCUCUCUCUCUCUCUCUGUUCUUUAACGAAAUGAAACAUCAGAGUUCGCUAAUCCAAUUUCUGUUCUAGCUAUCCCAGCUGAAGAGUAUGUUAUUCUGGAUUGAAAUUGAGGAACCUCUGUAACUUAGCAGGGCUGCUGCCAUUAAAACAUGAGUGGAUAUGCAUCAGGUAGUGCUUCCCAGGAUGGUCGUGAUGAAGAUGAUGAUGAGGAAUAUGAGGAGGUUGAUGGAGGUAACAGGUUAUUGGGAUUUAUGUUUGGGAAUGUUGACAACUCCGGUGAUCUUGAUGUGGAUUACCUUGAUGAGGAUGCAAAGGAGCAUCUUGGCGCACUGGCUGACAAAUUGGGCCCAUCAUUGACAGAUAUAGAUUUGUCGAUGAAAUCAACACAUACAUCUGCUGAUGCUGCAGAACAAGAUUAUGAUGAGAAGGCUGAAGAUGCAGUUGAUUAUGAAGAUAUUGAUGAGCAGUAUGAAGGACCAGAGAUUCAAGCUGCUAGUGAGGAGGAUCAUUUGUUGCCAAAAAAGGAGUAUUUUUCUUCUCAAGUUUCUCUGGCCACACUGGAGCCUGAAACUUCUGUGUUUGAUGAUGAAAAUUAUGAUGAGGAAGAGGAAACUGAAAAGGAACAUGUGGUUGUCGAUAAAAACCUUGAAGUUCAAGGUCAGCAGGAGGUUGUGGUAAUUCCAGGAGUGGAAAGAUCUCCACUUGAUGGGACACAACUUGAUUCCAUGGAUACUGAAAGUCUGGAUGCUGAUUUGGAAGAUUUGGAGGAGGAGAAAUCUAAUGCUCUGGAGGGGCCUCUAGAUGGUCAAGCUUCCACACCUCUUCCUGUUUUGUGUAUAGAGGAUGGUAUGGUGAUUUUACGGUUCUCUGAAAUAUUUGGUAUUCAUGAGCCCCUUAAGAAAGGAGAAAAAAGAGACUAUAGAUAUUCCAUUUUCAAAGAGAAGUAUAAAUGUAUGGAUGUUUCUGAUAUUGUCGAAGAAGAUGAGGAAGCCUUUUUAAAGGGCUCUAGUAAAGUAUUUCAGUUGCAGUCACAUGGAAACCAAUAUGACGUGUCAGUAUUUAAUGAUGAUGGCUCAGAAUCAGGAAAUUUUGGUAUUAUGCAAGGGUCAGUUCAAAAUGAGAAACAAAGGAGCUCUUGUGUUAGUGCAGAACCAAUGAACAAGGAUUUAUCAGUAAAUCCUUUCACAGGAAGGCAAUCACUGUUGUGCUCAAAAUUCGACCCUCUUGAUCAGCAAGAUUGGGAAGAUAGAAUUCUGUGGGACAAUUCUCCUUCUGUUAGUGACAACUCUGUAGAGAGUUGCGACUUAUCUGAACCUGACUUGGGAGAUUCAUUUCUUAAAGAAACAGAACGAGUGAGUGAGCCACAGAAUUUUCAUACCGAGCUCGCUGUGCAGCCAGAUGAGAAAGAUCGUAAAUUUUUCCUGCAUAGCUCUCCUGUUCUUGUGGAGUCACUUGGCUAUGGAGUUUCUUCAGGACCUUCAGAUCUUCCACUAUCAGAGGGCAGAUGCCAUCCACAACUCUUGAGGUUAGAAUCUCAGUUAGAAGGGGAGAAGUAUCAUGAUGUUGAUGGUAGAAGAGAGAAUAAUGCUGUGGAGAUUUUCCAAAGUGGAUCUAUAAGGCGCUUCAGCAGGCUCACACUGCAAAAUAGAGACGUGAUGGAAGGGUCUUGGCUGGAUGAGAUAAUAUGGGAACCCAAUAAGGCUAAUGUGAAGCCUAAGCUAAUUCUUGAUCUUCAAGAUGAGCAGAUGCUUUUUGAAGUUCUGGAUAACAAGGAUAGUAAACAUCUGCAACUUCAUGCUGGGGCAAUGAUUAUAACUCGAUCCCUGAAGCCCAGGGUUUCACCUGAGCUGUGUGGUCAUGGAUAUGAGUCUGGUUGGCAAUUCAAUAUUGCCAAUGACAAGUUCUAUAUGAAUAGGAAAAUUUCUCAGCAGUUGCCAUCGAAUUCUAGCAAACGAAGUGCUUAUGGUACCAGAGUUCAUCAUUCAGCACCUGCAAUUAAGCUGCAGACAAUGAAAUUGAAAUUGAGCAAUAAAGAUUUAGCUAAUUUUCAUCGACCAAAAGCUUUAUGGUAUCCCCAUGACAAUGAGGUGGCUGUCAAAGAACAAAAGAAGCUGCCCACUCAAGGACCUAUGAAAAUUAUAUUAAAGAGCUUGGGAGGUAAAGGUAGUAAACUACAUGUGGAUGCUGAGGAAACUGUCUCUUCCGUUAAGGCAAAGGCUUCAAAAAAGCUAGAUUUCAAGCCUUCAGAAAUGGUGAAGAUAUUUUAUUUGGGGAAGGAGCUUGAGGAUCAUAAAUCGCUUGCUGCCCAAAAUGUUCGGCCCAACUCUUUGCUUCAUCUUGUUCGUACAAAAAUUCAUUUGUUGCCAAAGGCGCAGAGGAUUCCUGGUGACAACAAGUCUUUGCGCCCUCCUGGGGCAUUUAAGAAGAAAUCAGACCUUUCUGUAAAGGAUGGUCAUGUGUUUCUUAUGGAGUAUUGUGAGGAAAGACCUUUGUUAUUGAGCAAUUUUGGCAUGGGUGCAAACCUGUGCACUUACUAUCAGAAGUCAAGCCCCAGUGAUCAAACUGGCAUCUUGUUGCGCAAUGGAAAUAGCAGCUUGGGAAAUGUUAUGAUAUUAGAGCCUACUGAUAAAUCCCCUUUUCUUGGAGAUAUAAAAGCUGGUUGCAGCCAAUCAUCUCUUGAAACAAACAUGUAUAAAGCUCCAGUGUUCCCCCACAAGGUAGCAACCACUGAUUAUUUGUUGGUUCGCUCUGCAAAGGGAAAACUUUCCAUAAGACGCAUUGACCGAAUUGCUGUUGUUGGGCAACAGGAACCCCUCAUGGAGGUAUUAUCUCCAGGAUCUAAGAAUCUUCAGGCAUAUAUCAUAAACAGGUUAUUGGUUUAUGUGUACCGUGAAUUUCGAGCUGCUGAAAAGAGCGGCACAGUUCCUUGGAUCCGUGCAGAUGAGUUGUCAGCUCAGUUUCCAAGCCUUUCAGAAACCAUCUUACGGAAGAAGCUGAAGGAAUGUGCUGUGUUGCGGAAGGAUUCAAAUGGAUACUUGUUUUGGUCCAAGAAGCGUGAUUUCAUCAUUCCAACUGAAGAGGAGUUGAAAAAGUUGGUACUACCAGAGAAUGUUUGUGCUUAUGAAAGUAUGCAAGCUGGUCUGUAUCGUCUGAAGCACUUAGGAAUUACCAGGCUGAUACUCCCAACUAGUGCUUCAAGUGCAAUGAGUCAGCUCCCUGAUGAAGCAAUAGCUCUGGCUGCUGCAUCACACAUAGAGAGGGAAUUGCAGAUAACUCCAUGGAGCUUGAGCAGCAACUUUGUUGCUUGUACAAGCCAGGAUAGGGAAAAUAUUGAGCGUCUUGAAAUUACUGGAGUUGGUGAUCCAUCUGGUCGGGGCUUAGGAUUUAGCUAUGUUCGUGCUGCUCCAAAGGCACCGGUGUCGAAUGCAAUGGCGAAGAAAAAAGCAGCUGCUGGUCGAGGGGGUUCUACUGUCACUGGGACAGAUGCUGACCUUCGUAGAUUAAGCAUGGAGGCUGCACGAGAGGUCCUUCUAAAGUUCAAUGUUCCUGAGGAACAGAUUGCAAAACAGACUAGGUGGCAUCGUAUUGCUAUGAUACGAAAGCUUUCAAGUGAACAAGCAGCAUCAGGAGUGAAGGUUGAUCCAACAACUAUCAGCAAGUAUGCACGUGGCCAACGAAUGUCCUUUCUUCAGUUGCAGCAACAGACAAGAGAAAAGUGUCAAGAAAUUUGGGAUCGUCAAGUUCAGUCUCUUUCAGCAGUGGAUGGUGAUGAAAAUGAGAGUGAUUCUGAGGCAAAUAGUGACCUAGAUUCCUUUGCUGGAGACCUGGAAAACUUGCUUGAUGCAGAGGAAUGUGAAGGGGAUGAGGGUAAUUAUGAGUCCAAGCAUGACAAAGCAGAUGGUGUCAAGGGGUUAAAAAUGAGAAGACGGCCAUUUAAGGUUCAGGCUGAAGAGGAAAUUGAAGAUGAAGCUGCUGAGGCAGCGGAAUUAUGCAGGUUGCUCAUGGAUGAUGAGGAGGCUGCUGAGCAGAAAAAGAAGAAAAAAACAAAAACUACAGGGAUUGAGGCAGGGCUGGUAUUUGGCUCAAAAUCAAAUUUUGUUGACAAUGCUGAGCGCAUUAAGAAAACAAAGAAAGUCCAUCCUAAUGGGUCCUACAUUACAAAAGAGAACAGCAAUAGAGACUUCAAGGAGGUGGAGACUUUAUUUGGUAAAAGGAAGAUGUCUGACAAGGUAAAAGCUAUGAAAAAUAAUGCUACUUCAGAUUCAAGCACGCCUCGACUGAAGGCAAAAGUCAAAAUAUUGGGUGAAGGACUUAAGAUCUUUAAGGAGAAGAAAUCAUCAAGAGAGAGUUUUGUCUGUGGGGCAUGUGGUCAGGUGAAUUAACUUGAAAGCCUGAAAUAGAUUUUCUUGAUGCUUCAAAAGAGUUUCAGUUUUGUUAACCUUUUUAUUAACCAGCUUGGACACAUGAGGACCAACAAGAACUGCCCCAAGUAUGGAGAAGAGCCUGACACACAGGUUGAAAUUACAGAAAUAGAAAAAGCUUCUGCAAAAUCCAGUUCUCUAGAUCCCUCAAGUAAGUCCCAGCAGAAGUUGCAGAAGAAAAAGUCCAUGACAGAAAGUACAACCAAAAUUGAAGCUCCUGAAGGUGAAAAAUCUAGUUUAAAGUCAAAAGUUCUGCCAGUGAAGUUCAAAUGUGGCUCCACUGAGAAAUUUUCUGAUAAACCUGCUGAUGGAGCUGCACAAAGUUCUGACCUGCCUAUCACUUCUGAUGCCCGGCCUGAUAGUUCUGAUUUGGAAACUGUGAGCAAGCCAAUUUCCAAGGUUAAUAAGAUAAUAAUAUCCAACAAGGCAAAACCUGAUGAUGUACAAGUUGAAUCACACAAGCCCUCUAUUGUGAUACGCCCACCACUUGAUACCGAUAGAGGUCAAAUUGAACCUCAUAAGCCCUCCAUUGUUAUUAGGCCACCGAUAAAUGCAGAAAGAAACCAUAUUGAAUCUCAUAAGCCGUCUAUUGUGAUACGUCCACCUGCAGCAAAAGAUAGGGACCAAGGCCACAAGAAAAUAGUUAUCAAACAGCCCAAAGAGAUCAUUGAUGUUGACCAGGGCAGUCAGGAUGGAAGCACUGGGUUUGAGUACCGGAAAAUAAAAAAAAUUGCUGAAUUAUCAGGUGUUGAAAAUCCAAGGAAGCCACGGACUUUAAAUUUACCUGGAGAUUCAGCCAAGAAGAAAGCCAGAGAGGAGAGAAGAUGGUGGGAAGAGGAAGAGAAAAGGAGAAUUACAGAGAGAUUUAGAGAAGAGAGACCCAGGAGGAUUUAUGGGGAAGAAACAAGAGUUGAAGAACAAGGACUAGCUGAGCUUAGAAGAUAUGAAGAAGCUGUCAGAAGGGAGAGGGAGGAAGAAGAACUGCAGAAAGCCAAGAAGAAGAAAAAGAAGAAGAAAAAGCCUGAAUUUAGCGAUGACUACUUAGAAGACUUUAGGGCAAGCAGAAGAAUGCCAGAAAGAGAUCGAGGUGCAAAAAGGCGGCCUGUUGUUGAAUUGGGGAGGUAUGGUGCAGAGCAUGCCCCUGCAACAAAGCGUCGUAGAGGUGGAGAGGUUGGCUUGGCAAACAUAUUGGAACGCGUUGUGGACACCCUUAAAGACAGGUUAGAUGUAUCCUACCUGUUCCUAAAACCAGUAUCCAAGAAAGAGGCUCCUGACUACUUGGACAUCAUAAAACGUCCCAUGGAUCUAUCAACAAUUAGAGAAAAGGUAAGAAAGAUGGAAUACAAGCACCGAGAGGAGUUUAGACACGACAUGUGGCAGAUCACAUACAAUGCCCACUUGUACAAUGACGGCCGGAACCCUGGUAUUCCUCCCCUUGCUGAUCAGCUUUUGGAACUUUGUGACUACUUGCUUAAGGAACACAACUACAGCUUAUCUGAAGCGGAAGCCGGAAUUGAAUCUAGGGAACAUUAGAACAUCACUAAUGGAUCCUCUGUCUCAUUAUGAGUUUUAAGUCCCCCCAGAAGCAAUUUUUUCUUUCUUUCCUUGGGGUUGUAAUGGUUUGUAAGUUGGCCUUAGGGCUCAGCUUCUUGUACGGCAAUUAUGUCCCUGUAAAAUAACGAGCUGUAUCCAAUUAUUUUUUUAGUGUAUAUUCGAGUAAUUUUGUCAAUAUGUACCCUCAGGAUCUCUCUUAAUUUGUAGGAGAAUUCAACUCACUGCGGCUCUGGAAAUAACUUGUAUUCCAUGGAAAGUGU